rnacentral:rRNA from 1 species
GAUGAACGCUGGCGGCGUGCCUAAUACAUGCAAGUCGAGCGAACAGAUGAGGAGCUUGCUCCUCUGACGUUAGCGGCGGACGGGUGAGUAACACGUGGAUAACCUACCUAUAAGACUGGGAUAACUUCGGGAAACCGGAGCUAAUACCGGAUAAUAUAUUGAACCGCAUGGUUCAAUAGUGAAAGACGGUUUUGCUGUCACUUAUAGAUGGAUCCGCGCCGCAUUAGCUAGUUGGUAAGGUAACGGCUUACCAAGGCGACGAUGCGUAGCCGACCUGAGAGGGUGAUCGGCCACACUGGAACUGAGACACGGUCCAGACUCCUACGGGUGGCAGCAGUAGGGAAUCUUCCGCAAUGGGCGAAAGCUUGACGGAGCAACGCCGCGUGAGUGAUGAAGGUCUUCGGAUCGUAAAACUCUGUUAUUAGGGAAGAACAAAUGUGUAAGUAACUAUGCACGUCUUGACGGUACCUAAUCAGAAAGCCACGGCUAACUACGUG